rnacentral:rRNA from 1 species
UACGUAGGUGGCGAGCGUUGUCCGGAUUUACUGGGCGUAAAGAGCGCGCAGGCGGUCGGAUAAGUCGAAUGUGAAAGCCCCCCGGCUCAACUGGGGAGGGUCAUUCGAUACUGUUCGACUCGAAGGCAGGAGAGGGAAGUGGAAUUCCCGGUGUAGUGGUGAAAUGCGUAGAUAUCGGGAGGAACACCAGUGGCGAAGGCGACUUCCUGGCCUGUUCUUGACGCUGAGGCGCGAAAGCUAGGGGAGCAAACGGGG